ACACGGCGGGUGCUAACGUCCGUCGUGAAGAGGGAAACAACCCAGACCGCCAGCUAAGGUCCCAAAGUCAUGGUUAAGUGGGAAACGAUGUGGGAAGGCCCAGACAGCCAGGAUGUUGGCUUAGAAGCAGCCAUCAUUUAAAGAAAGCGUAAUAGCUCACUGGUCGAGUCGGCCUGCGCGGAAGAUGUAACGGGGCUAAACCAUGCACCGAAGCUGCGGCAGCGACACUAUGUGUUGUUGGGUAGGGGAGCG
rnacentral:rRNA from 1 species